UUGUUCCUACGGGGGGCAGCAGUGAGGAAUAUUGGUCAAUGGGCGGAAGCCUGAACCAGCCAAGUCGCGUGAGGGAAUAAGGCCCUACGGGUCGUAAACCUCUUUUGCCGGGGAGCAAGGGCGGGGACGUGUCCCGGCCCGGAGAGUACCCGGAGAAAAAGCAUCGGCUAACUCCGUGCCAGCAGCCGCGGUAAUACGGAGGAUCCGAGCGUUAUCCGGAUUCAUUGGGUUUAAAGGGUGCGUAGGUUGUUUUAUAAGUUAGCGGUGAAAUACCGAUGCUCAACAUCGGGGCUGCCGCUAAUACU
rnacentral:rRNA from 1 species